GCAAGUCGAGGGGCAGCAUAACUACUUGUAGUUGAUGGCGACCGGCGCACGGGUGCGUAACGCGUAUAGAACCUACCUUUUACAGAGGGAUAGCCUUUAGAAAUGAAGAUUAAUACCUUAUGGUAUUAAGUACUGGCAUCAGUAUUUAAUUAAAGAUUUAUCGGUAAAAGAUGGCUAUGCGUCCUAUUAGCUAGAUGGUAAGGUAAUAGCUUACCAUGGCAACGAUAGGUAGGGGCCCUGAGAGGGGGAUC
rnacentral:rRNA from 1 species